rnacentral:rRNA from 1 species
UACGUAGGGUGCGAGCGUUGUCCGGAAUUACUGGGCGUAAAGAGCUCGUAGGUGGUUUGUCGCGUUGUUCGUGAAAACCUGAGGCUUAACCUUGGGCGUGCGGGCGAUACGGGCAGACUGGAGUACUGCAGGGGAGACUGGAAUUCCUGGUGUGGCGGUGGAAUGCGCAGAUAUCAGGAGGAACACCGGUGGCGAAGGCGGGUCUCUGGGCAGUAACUGACGCUGAGGAGCGAAAGCGUGGGGAGCGAACAGG